rnacentral:misc_RNA from 1 species
GUUUUCUCAACGAGAAAUGCAGUACCUCGCCGCGUACGCCCUCGUGGCGCUCUCUGGCAAGACGCCGUCGAAGGCGGCCGUUGAGGCUGUCCUGAAGGCCGCCGGCGUUGCCGUGGAUGCCUCCCGCGUGGAUGCCGUCUUCCAGGAGCUCGAGGGCAAGAGCUUUGAUGCGCUGGUGGCCGAGGGCCGCGCGAAGCUGGUGGGCUCUGGCUCUGCCGCUCCUGCUGCCGCUGCCUCCACUGCUGCAGCCGCCGCUGCCGUGGUUGCCGAGGCAAAGAAGGAGGAGCCCGAGGAGGAGGCCGACGAUGACAUGGGCUUCGGUCUCUUCGACUGAGCAGUGUCCGCACUGCGGCGCGUAAUGCGCCUCUGCCGAAGAGUUUCACGCCGGCAUCUUCUCAUUGUUGUGGUGCAUCGUUUCUUUCUUUGCUUGUGACUUGGGUUUGUCUUUUUAUUUCGAGUGGAAAGGCUCUGCAAAAUGAACAACCCGUGGGAGAUGAGUAGGAGCGGAGGCGAGGUGGCUGAUUGUGAGGCUGCAGCGAAAAGAAAAAAAAAGCAGCGACGCCCUCGGCACACGAAGAGAGAACCCUUCCUCCUCCGUUGCUUCCCUCCUCGUAGAAGAGAGAUACGAUAAAUGCCACAGAAGCUGUACGAGAGGCACGGGCGAUGUCAUGAAGAGAAUCCACCGCGCUUUCCUGCCGUGACCCGCUGCCUUUGAUGAGUGAGAGAGAGUACUUCUUCUCACAAUGGCUUCAUUACGACGUUCUGCUCUACUGUGCCUCCCUGCUCGUCUUCUCCCGUUCUCGUUUCUUCAUUUUUGUCCUUUCCAUGCACUUUCUACCAUAACGUUUUUUUGCCUCUUCUCGUACAAG